UACGUAGGGGGCUAGCGUUAUCCGGAAUUACUGGGCGUAAAGGGUGCGUAGGUGGUUUCUUAAGUCAGAGGUGAAAGGCUACGGCUCAACCGUAGUAGGCCUUUGAAACUGGGGAACUUGAGUGCAGGAGAGGAGAGUGGAAUUCCUAGUGUAGCGGUGAAAUGCGUAGAUAUUAGGAGGAACACCAGUUGCGAAGGCGGCUCUCUGGACUGUAACUGACACUGAGGCACGAAAGCGUGGGGAGCAAACAGG
rnacentral:rRNA from 1 species